UACUUAUUUCUGAGACACACUCUCAGACUUGUCUAUCCUGGAGCUGACUAUGUAGACCAGGCUGGCCUGGAACUCAGAGAUCCAUCCCCCUGUACCUCCCAAAUGCUGAGAUUAAAAAGGCACAUGCCACCAUGCCUGGCUAUCCUAAUUUUCUUAAACCUAAGAAUAAUUAUACUUCUGUGUUGGAAUAUGUAAGAAUUCAUACCUACCUUUUCUACUGCUCUGAGGUAACAUAUAUUAACAAGUAAGUAUAACUGGCUUUCGCAUGUGUAAGGUAACACGAGGCUCACAGAUCUGUAUAUAUCAUUUAUUUUGAAGGAUGGGGGGUGAAAAUGCUGGUCCUGAGCUAUUCACAAUAGAGAGCAAACACCAAGGCCAAUACCACGUAAGACUCUGUUUCAUGUUUAGCUUCUACCCAGUUGUCCCAUGCCACAUCCCAGAUCCAUCUGCUGGCAAUCUGUGAGACAAAAUUGAAAAGACUCAGAUGGAAUGUGUUAAGUAACUUAAAUUACAGUAGCUUGGCUUUUUAAAAUAGUGUGUGUCAGUUUCUCAGAAAGUUUUAUUUAAGAAAUAAUUUGUUAGGCUGAGUCGGGUAACUUAAGUGAUAACACACCAGCUCAAAUUCCUGUGUUCCAUCCUAGCACUACAUAGAGAUAGCUCAGCAGUUAAGAGUGUGCAGUGUUUCCACAAGACACAAUUCCCUGUCUCGAAAAACAAACAAAACAAAACAAAACAAAACAAAACAAAACAAAACAAAAAAAAAAAAAAAAAAA
rnacentral:misc_RNA from 1 species